CACGUAGGGCGCAAGCGUUGUCCGGAAUUAUUGGGCGUAAAGAGCUCGUAGGCGGCCUGUUGCGUCCGCUGUGAAAUCCCGGGGCUCAACCCCGGGCGUGCAGUGGAUACGGGCUGGCUGGAGGCAGGCAGGGGAGAACGGAAUUCCUGGUGUAGCGGUGAAAUGCGCAGAUAUCAGGAGGAACACCGGUGGCGAAGGCGGUUCUCUGGGCCUGUACUGACGCUGAGGAGCGAAAGCGUGGGGAGCGAACAGG
rnacentral:rRNA from 1 species